rnacentral:rRNA from 1 species
GAUGAACGCUGACAGAAUGCUUAACACAUGCAAGUCGAUUCGAUUUACCUUCGGGUAUUGAGGAUGGCGGACGGGUGAGUAACGCGUAAGGAACUUGCCUCUUGGUCUGGGACAACUGUUGGAAACGACAGCUAAUACCGGAUAUUAUGAGAUUCUCGCAUGGGAAACUUAUGAAAGCUAUAUGCGCCAAGAGAGAGCCUUGCGUUCCAUUAGCUAGUUGGUGGGGUAACGGCCCACCAAGGCGACGAUGGAUAGCCGGCCUGAGAGGGUGAACGGCCACAAGGGGACUGAGACACGGCCCUUACUCCUACGGGAGGCAGCAGUGGGGAAUAUUGNNNNNNNGGGNNNNAAGCCUGAUCCAGCAAUUCUGUGUGCACGAUGAAGGUCUUCGGAUUGUAAAGUGCUUUCAGUUGGGAAGAAGAAAGUGACGGUACCAACAGAAGAAGCGACGGCUAAAUACGUGCCAGCAGCCGCGGUAAUACGUAUGUCGCAAGCGUUAUCCGGAUUUAUUGGGCGUAAAGCGCGUCUAGGC